rnacentral:rRNA from 1 species
AGCGAACGCUGGCGGCAUGCCUAACACAUGCAAGUCGAACGAGACCUUCGGGUCUAGUGGCGCACGGGUGCGGAACGCGUGGGAACCUGCCCUUAGGUUCGGAAUAACUCAGAGAAAUUUGAGCUAAUACCGGAUAAUGUCUUCGGACCAAAGAUUUAUCGCCUUUGGAUGGGCCCGCGUAGGAUUGGCUUGUUGGGGGGGUAAUGGCCUACCAAGGCGACGAUCCUUAGCUGGUCUGAGAGGAUGAUCAGCCACACUGGGGCUGAGACACGGCCCAGACUCCUACGGGAGGCAGCAGUGGGGAAUAUUGGACGAUGGGCGAAAGCCUGAUCCAGCAAUGCCGCGUGAGUGAUGAAGGCCUUAGGGUUGUAAAGCUCUUUUACCAGAGAUGAUAAUGACGGUACCUGGAGAAUAAGCACCGGCUAACUCCGUG